AUCUCCAACAUAAGAAGGCAGGACUUGCUUCUGUGAGGUACUGAGCCACCCGUCCCUGGAGGAAAGCAAGAACAGAGCAGAUCAGAGCCCAGGCAGACAUCUUGGAUGAUGGGGUACAUCUUGCCAUCCAGAGGCAAUGCUGGAGCGGGCAGUUGUCUGCGGGGAGGCCCUGGCUCACUCUGGGCCAAAUAACAGGACUGAUUGCAGCCUGCGAUGAAACAUCCUGUUUCUCCCAACCAGAAACAGGUAGAGGAGCUGCUUUAGGAUGGAAGAUGAGGCUUGCUUUUUCUUUCUCCUAGAAGUCAGCAUUUUACAUGAUUCUGGGAGGGAAGAAAGGAGACAGGAACCAAGGAGCCUGAGUGGGGAUUUGCCCACCACUGGGCAGCCAGGCUCCCGUCAGGAAGGCUUUUCAGAGGGAGUGUUGGAAGGAGUCGUCGAGGAGUCUUCCUCACCCAGGAAGUCUUCCUCACCGGGUGAGCCCCAACCUGCUGGACCUGCUCAGAAUUUGCCCAACAGGGGAUCCUGGUUGACUGAGGUCUGCUAAUUCCAACUGGCCUACGCUAAAUUCUCCCAGAAUGUCUUCAUCAUCAAUGAAUCGCUUUCCACUGACACGACGCCUGGAAGAACAUAAACACUGUGAGGAUAAAUGCCAAUGAAAUAAUAAUAAAAUAAACUUUCUUUGGUGGCCAGAGGGAA
rnacentral:lncRNA from 1 species